rnacentral:sRNA from 1 species
UCACUACAAUGCACGCAUACUUAAUGAUUGGUAAUUCCUUACUGGUUAAAGAGUUUCAGACUUAAGUAUGAUGUUGUGUUUGCAUAUUGUUUGGGAAACCAAACAAAGUAACUUUUUUUGAAGUUACUUAUUUUCACUUCCUGUAUA